rnacentral:lncRNA from 1 species
GGCGGGGGCAGCGCCGGCUGCGGAGGGGAACGCUUGGCUCUCCGGGACCGGCGCCUGCCGCGGUGCGGAUGCGUAUGGACGAAUCCUCGUGAAAACAGCUCCCGACGUUUUCCCCCACCCCCCCAAAAAAAAACCAAACCCAAACAAACCACCCACUUGGAUAAUUAAAACGGUUUUUGGCAGUAUCCAGUGUUGCUAAGGAUGAUUUAAUUCCUACUACCAGUCCUAUUCCCAGAGGUAGCUUCUCCAAGGUGGCUCCUGACAUAGGAAAUGAAACAGAGAGAACAAAGAAACUCAAAUAAACUCUUUGCAGGUGGAAAAUACUGUGACUGCUUGCCUGGGACUGAAACAAUCCAUUUGAAUUAUCAGAAAGGAUAAUAAUCUUGCAGUAGAGGUCAAGUAACAGCAGAGCCAGGAACUGCAGCUAAUGGAGUUGGAACUUUUCAACCUCAAAUUCCAGAGCUAAGCAAGUACAAACAGAAUUCUGCAGCAGAAGAGGAGCACAGGGACGUGUCGCCUCCACUCCCCUUCCAGCAAACUCUUCUGAGACCAAUUCUCCCUCAAAGCUGUCCUGGUGAUCACACAGCAGAAAAAUAAUUCCCCAACUGUUGGACCAGGAUAUAGUCUGAAAACUGUUUUCUUAUAUUAUAGAUUGAAAUAGAGAUCUUUUCCAG